rnacentral:rRNA from 1 species
GAUGAACGCUGGCGGCGUGCUUAACACAUGCAAGUCGAACGGAAAGGCCCAAGCUUGCUUGGGUACUCGAGUGGCGAACGGGUGAGUAACACGUGGGUGAUCUGCCCUGCACUUCGGGAUAAGCCUGGGAAACUGGGUCUAAUACCGGAUAGGACCACUUCUUGGAUGUUGUGGUGGAAAGUUUUUUCGGUGUGGGAUGAGCUCGCGGCCUAUCAGCUUGUUGGUGGGGUAAUGGCCUACCAAGGCGUCGACGGGUAGCCGGCCUGAGAGGGUGUACGGCCACAUUGGGACUGAGAUACGGCCCAGACUCCUACGGGAGGCAGCAGUGGGGAAUAUUGCACAAUGGGCGCAAGCCUGAUGCAGCGACGCCGCGUGGGGGAGGACGGCCUUCGGGUUGUAAACUCCUUUCGCUAGGGACGAAGCGUUUUGUGACGGUACCUGGAGAAGUAGCACCGGCUAACUACGUG